GUUAUUUCUGAACACAUUUAGACUGUCAUUACUGUCAUUAAUGUAGACCCAACAACCAUCAAGUGUUAUUUCUGAACACAUUUAGACUGUCAUUGUUGUCAUUGUAGACCCAACAACCAUCAAGUAUUAUUCUGAACACAUUUAGACUGUCAUUAAUGUAGACACUCAUAUGUCCAAACGGUUUCUGAAGAUGCCAAUAAAAUAUUAUUCUGUUGUUCAAA